AUUGAACGCUGGCGGCAUGCUUUACACAUGCAAGUCGAACGGCAGCGCGGGGCAACCUGGCGGCGAGUGGCGAACGGGUGAGUAAUAUAUCGGAACGUACCCAGAAGUGGGGGAUAACGUAGCGAAAGUUACGCUAAUACCGCAUACGAUCUACGGAUGAAAGUGGGGGACCUUCGGGCCUCAUGCUUUUGGAGCGGCCGAUAUCUGAUUAGCUAGUUGGUAGGGUAAAGGCCUACCAAGGCGACGAUCAGUAGCUGGUCUGAGAGGACGACCAGCCACACUGGAACUGAGACACGGUCCAGACUCCUACGGGAGGCAGCAGUGGGGAAUUUUGGACAAUGGGCGCAAGCCUGAUCCAGCAAUGCCGCGUGAGUGAAGAAGGCCUUCGGGUUGUAAAGCUCUUUUGUCAGGGAAGAAACGGCUGAGGAUAAUACCUUCGGCUAAUGACGGUACCUGAAGAAUAAGCACCGGCUAACUACGUGCCAGCCGCCGCUGUAAUAC
rnacentral:rRNA from 1 species